rnacentral:lncRNA from 1 species
UAAUAACUCUUCCUCUUUUACAACCAGGACUAUAAUUUUACAUUGUAGUACAAACAAUCUAAUACAAACUAAUAACUCUUCCUCUUUUACAUUUUUCUUUUUAGAAUAAACAAAUUUUAUUCACGUCGAGAGUGUACAAGUGCAACAAACUCGCGGACAAGGAAAACAAACAGAGGUCACCGAUAUACCGGAAAACUCGAAACCAACACCCUAAAAACUGGCCCAAAAAAUCUGCCCUGCUAUCAACACACAGCUGCUGAACCUUGCUACUAUCAAACCAGAAAAACUGAUGUUGUACUGGCACAAAAAUCUGCCCUGCUAUCAACAAACAGCAGCCGAACCUUGCUGCUAUCAUACAAGAAAAACUGAUGCUGUCAUAUACAGCAGUAACAUCAGUGCCAAAACAGUCCCGCACGCGCCGAAUACCACAGCUUCAACCUCGAAAGCACAAGAGACCACGACAACUCCACCGCAACAGACACUCUAAGGUACCAUUGCCACUCAUAAACCAUUUUGCGACAUAACCAACUUCUCCAAAUAAACCAUAUCUCCAAUUCUUUCAGGUAUUUCACCAAUUAAGUUAGGGUUGUAGACAUAAAAAAAAAAAACCUUUCAACCUGGGUAUACUCAAAAGCAAAGGAAACAGUAGCAUUAAAGGACAAAUCCAAACACUCAAAUUCAACAAUUCAUCAAUCUCAUCAGAAACAAACAGUACCAUUGAAACAAAAAAUAUACAAGACCAGUGAUUUGAAUUGAAAAUUAGUAUUCUGUAAUCAUUGUAAUCAAAUUAAGAUUUUUUUUUCUUUCAAAUUAUCACUGUAAUUACUCUAAUCAGUGUAAUCCAUUCAAAUGAUUGGAACCGAAAUAAAAUUCAAAUUGGUACUCACCGUAAUCCACCAUCGUGGUGCCCCUCCGCCGCACAACAUAAGGAAAGAAGGAUUUUGAAGGAAGAUGGAAAAUAGAGAAGGAAGGACAACCGUCGCUGUAGUCAGCUGUUGUGGUUUGCCGCCACACGUCUCCACCGCGCAACCACCGUUCCGCCGCCGCUGUUGAGAUGGGUUUCUGAAAUUGAGAGUGAAUGAAUGGCAAAGAAACAACGUGAGGAAGGGAAGAAAAGAAAUGAAUCAACUUGUAAAAUAAAAAAUAAAAAUUAAGGGCUAAGAUUAAUUAAGAUGUCAUUAAAAGAAUGGAUGGUUAAGAUUAUUUCACAGGAGGAAAUUUCCACCGGAGUGGAUCCUCUCCCUCAAACUCGUGAGCUAAAUCGUAAAAAUGUUUUCACAUUGUAUCUAUCAAAUUCUAUUUCGCUAGUAAAUCAAAAUGGCGAGAUUUAGACUAACUUUAAAAGAAGGUGGAUAAUUUAGUAUACACCAACAAUUAGGGAGUAUUUUACACAUUUAACAUAUCCCUUUUAUUAUUUGCAAAUGACAUUUUACAAUUUAAAUAAAUCAACAAGUUAAUUAGAUUCCCCCUUCAAUCCAAUCACUCACACCUCUUUUCUUCUUUAAAUUUGAGUUUAUCCUCCAUCUUUCAUUCCCCAUUCAACCACUCUCCCAUUCAUCUUCUUCAACCAUUCAAAAUGGUUGAAGAAUAACACUAGUGCUCAUCAUAAACUAAUAACACUAGUACUAAUGCCAACAUAAAAAAUCCUUUUAUGAUAUUAGGUACUUACUGAACAACCACAACAGUCAUCUUCAAAAAACAAAAAAAACACAACAGUCAAUUUUUCGUUUCCAUAACCAUUUAUAAAUCAAAAGGGUUAUUUGUUUUCAUAAUUGAGGUUGGGUAUUUUUUGUUGAAAUUUAAAACAAAAUUCACUUUGAGUGUUUAAAUAUGCAGAAAAUUGUUUGUAAUCACUAAUCACAAGGAUAUGUUCUGGUUAAUGAUUAUGUGUUUAAAUUAAGUUUUCGAUGUUAAAAAUAGUUUUUUGUUUCGAGUCGCAUAGUUGUUAAUUAGAUCGUUAUGACCCGUCUAAAGGUUAAAGAUAAAAAAAAAAAAAAAUAACGUAGGUAUCGAACCUGCAAUACCUACACAAAAUACACACUGCGCCAACCGCACCAUGCAUUAAAAACAGUUUUUUUGUUUAACUUAUACGAAUCUUGUAAAUUAUGAUCUAUUAAUGUAUGAUUAACAUUCAUAUAAUAUAAUGAUUAUUGUUAUACGAAUUCAAUAGUAGAAAGCAAUAAAGAUCCAAUAGUAUAACAAGCAAGAAAGAUUCUCUAAAAAAAUGCAAUAAAAGAUCCAAUUAAUUAAUCCAUUAUAUUAUUUUUUGUCAAAAAAAAAAAAAAUCCAUUAUAUUAUUUAUUAAAUGUUUGUAAUUAUAUGUGUGAUGUUAAAAAUUUAAUCAUUCAACUAUUUAAAUUAAAAUUAAUUGUUGUGAAAUUGGAUUGGCAAAAAGGAGGCUUAUAGAAAGUUAGAUUUUUUUGGUUUGCUGAUAUGCAAAGAAGUAAAUGAUGUAAUGUAUUUGAGUCACAUUAUGAAUGUAUCUAGAUGUUUUGAAUUUUGUUGUGGAACAAACUCUUUGCCGGUUAAUUAGCGUUGCAACCAACAGUAAUAAACACUUUCCUUAAGAAUAAAAUAAAAAAUACCACCCCCCGUGAGCUUACCUCAGUUGGUAGGGAUAUUGCAUAUUAUAUGCAGGAGCCGGGGUUCGAACCCCGGACACUCCACUUCUCCACAAUUAAAUUGUGUGAGCUCUAGCCACUAGGCUACCCGACCAAAAAAAAAAAAAAGUNUAUAGCGACACUGAGAAAUAGAUCAAGCGGAAGACUCCUAAGUUUAGAAAAGGAGAGCAUGCCCAUAUAUCACCAUCAAAUUAAUCAAAGAUCUCCCAAAAAUACACAUAAAGUCACAAAGCAUGCCCAACCAUCCAAAAUGCUUCCCUCUUUAAACCACCAGAUCACAAUUUCUGUUACAAUUUUGACUUUACUAUAAUUAAAAUUGACCACUAAUCCCACACACCACACAUUUAUAAACCAAACGCAUAUAUAUACCUACACACAUCAAAACCUACAAACUCAACAAUUUCAUAUACCACCAACUUGGUUUCGGAUUGUCCCUGAUCAAAGAAGAGAAAGCAAGAAAAAAGAACAAUGGGUUUGAGAAACACCUCUGUUCUGUGCUUGGCACUUAUGUUGUCUUUCUCUUCGGCCAUUAAUUGUUUGGACAUAACCAAAACUUUGGGACAAUAUCCGGAACUCUCCACGUUCAGCAAAUACCUAACCGAAACCAAGUUGGCUGAACAAAUAAACAGUGGUAAAGCCGUUACCAUUCUUGCCCUUGACAACAAAGCUAUUGCUUCUCUUUCUGGUAAACCAAUUGACGCCAUUAAAGCCGUUAUUGGGACCCAUGUUAUACCUGAAUUCUACGAUGAGAAAAAACUUUUUGAUAUCAUUGGAAGCCAUGCACAAUUGCCUACACUUUCAACCGCUCCAGGUUUAGCCGCUAAAAUCUACGUGUCACUUAUUAAUGAAGGUGAAAUGGCAUUUAGUUCUGCUGUUGAAGGCUCAACCUUCGAUGCCACGCUUGUUCAAAGCACUGAGGCUGAACCAGGCGUUGUUUCAAUUCUCCAGGUUUCACAGCCAAUUGUUAAGGUUGGUGCUUCAGCUCCAGCAACUCCAGCAACACUAUCAAAACCAGCAACACCUGCAGCUGUGUCAACAUCCAGUGCCGGUGAGGUUGCAACACCAGCAGCUGUGCCAGCAUCCGGUGCCGGUCAGGUUACAACACCAGCAGCAUCACCUUCUGUGGUGAUUGCUGAGUCACCUGAGAGUUUUGGUGAUGCACCUGCUCCUGCUCCUAGUGCCUCUUCUCGUGCCACAUUCAGAUUCAUUGGUGCUGUUAUUGCCUUUGCUUCCAUUUUUGUCUCUUUGUAAGCGUUAUAUAAUGUAUUUCUAGAGAGAAAAUGAAACAAUAUUGAUUGGAAGGGAUAAAUUAAUUAAUUUGUUACAAUAUAUAAUGUAACACCUUGAUUUGUGCUUAUGGGAUUCGUUUGUUCAGAUUGAAUAUAUCUCUCACUUUUUUUUAAUGAUUGAUGUGGAUUCUUUACAUACGUUUUAUGGUGCAUAACUUUAUGUGUUUUGAGUAAAGAAUUCACUAUUCAAAACGGUGCUAGCCUGCAAUGUAGGUUCUACUCUGUCAAUAAAUGCACAAUGUAAUUAGGAAUUUCAAAUAACUAUGACUUCUGUUAAAAAUAAUGCCGAAGGAAACAAUUGAUGAUAAUAUCAUUGUGAUCACACACAAUUGUUGAUUUAUCUAUCGAUAGCUACAGAACAAAAUCUAAAACGAAUUGAGCAUACAUAUAUGCAACCAAUCAUAGAUUUUAUAUAUGAUUCUUCAAAUGAUCAACAAGAGCUAUGAUUAACAAAAUAUACGAUUUUUUUAUUGGUAAAAAAAUAAAAAAAUACGAUUUUGAUUUUAGCAUUUUGGAACUGGAUGAUUUGUAUUGUUUGUAGUGGUGCCAGAGUAGUUAAUAUAAGUUAUGUUUUGGUGGUUAAAGUUGUUAAGAGGUAGCGAAUUGGCUUAAGUACUAGGAGAGGUAGUAGUGGAGGCACUUGGGGGAAGUAGCAUUAAAUCUAUAGUGGAAAAGGAAGAUCCUUUGCGAAGAAGAAAUUCUGGUACGGAAAAUUACCUCAUGUCUUUGUUCGUAAUUUCAUUGUACAUUUCCAAAGCGAUGCUUUUCUUUACCUUCUUCAUUUUUCUCAUCUAUCUGGAAACUGAGAAUCAGUUGUUGGGUUAGUUUAGCUGCUUAGCAUGCUUGAUCAGACUGAAUGAUUUGUGUUUGAUUGAUUAUCAUUAGUUGAAUAAACUUGUCCUGACAAACAAUUCCUACCAUUUUAAAUCAAUCACUUUUAUCAUAAAAUAUAAAUCUUUGUUGGUCACAUAAUCCAAGUACAUGUGGGGCAUACACAAAGCAUAACAAUUACAGUUUAAGAUGACAUACAAGUGGGUGUGUAAACUGAUAGUUUAGUGACAGUUACACACUUAAUAAAGGGUGUACCAAAUGAGGUAGAUUUUGGACAAGAAUGAAAAUACUCAAAUAGAGUUCAAAUCACACAUAUCCUCCCUGUAGAGAUUGAUACAUUCUAGUAACGGUACUUGGUGGAGUAAUCUUUCGGAGCAAUGACAAGACCACGCCCCUUCCUUGCACCUCUGUAGACAGUCUCAAUGAUGUCAAUGAACUCCUGUUUGUCCUUCAUAGCCCAAUUGAUCUUGUUGUUGUUUCCAGUUCCAAGGUCUAUCAUGAUGUGCUUGUUCCUAAAGAAGAACAUAACUGUGGAAGGGUCAUACAGCUCAUACAUAGUGUUAAAGUCAGGCACCUCUGUGAUGUCCACAAGGUAUAUCACAGCAAAGUUCUUUAUUGUCUCUGCAACCGAUGACAGCACCUCAUCCAUCUUGACACAUACCCAAAGGAAAAAAAAAAAAUCAACCAGCAGUACUAACCUAAUUAAUGAAAUUUCGCUCAAUAUAACCCUUAUCAACCUAAAAUUAAGAAUUGGCACAUGAUGAUUGUUGAAAGAAACAAACAUUAUGUAUGAUAUAAUAAUACCAAUCGAGUGGUGUUCGUGGUAACAUCCAUGUAAUUGUGAAAAGUUGCAGAUAAAUAUGAUUGUUAAUGUGGUGGUUGAAGAUAGUAGCUCUAUGACUCAGUUUGAAUUAGCUUUAUAAAUUUUUAAUAUGCAAAAAGAAAUAUUCUAAGCAUGUAGAGAUGUUGAUGUAUUUACAGAGAAACAGGCUUAAGAAAAAGUUGAGAAGCAGAAACUAUAUUGGGGAAAUACUAGUUACGAAAUCAAAUUACACAAAUUAGCAUGACACAAAUUUGCACCAUCUUAUUAAUCUCCAGCUCCCUAAAUUCAUUACUUUAUCUCUCUUAUGUCCUAUAUUAUUGGCUGUUUCUGUUCUGUAUUGUUUUCAUGCGAGAAAGAUUGAUGCUAUAUAGCACUGUUCAGCUAAUCUCAACUUACAUGUACAAGAAAUUGUUGCUUAAUAAAAAAGCAUUCUUUUCCUCUAAAAAAAAGUAUAAUUCUUUUCAAAAUAAUUUUCUCAAAAGUACUAGUCCUUGGUGAGAAGUUGUGUAUCAAAAUUCUAAACUGUCUCUAAAAUCUCAAUAACAAUCAAGUCUUAUCAUAAUGUGUGGGGACGGCUACAUGGAUCAAACGGAGCAGUAAUGUUCUAUCAUAUACAAUAUUUCUAUCCAACUCAAUAAUCUCUGAAUCUUUCUUAAUAGUUUUCUAGGUUCUACUCUGCCUCUAGUGAUUGGACUAGCCGUAAUCCAGUACAAGUAAAUAUGAAUCAUAAUUUGUCUGAUUUUGUUUCAUACAAAAAAAUACAAGCAGAAGCAAGAAAUAAAAAUUUCCUUUCAUGAGCAUUUUAAGGUUUUGAUUCCUCUAUAAAGACUUUGGUGGAAGUAGAAGUUGAUUAAAGCAAUUAUGGUAUGAAUAGAUUUAAAUAUAAAACAUUGAUUGAUGUUAUACCUGCAUACAAGUCUCAUCCCAAUCGUGACCAAAACGGAUGACAACGAGACGUUCCUCCUCAGCAAGGAUUGCCUGAUCAACAGCCCAUCCCGAAUGCAAGUGAGGCAGCAUGUACGACAUCUUUCUUCUUCUUCUUCCCCUUUUCUUUUCUUAAUUAGGGUUUCCACCUUCAAUUCAACAACAAUAGAGCGGGUGUGGUGAGAUAGAUAGAUAGAGGUGAUGUAAAGUGAAAAAGAAAAAUUUAUUUUAUUUUAUUUAACUCAAAUUCCAUAUUUGUCCCUACCUAAUCAGUAAACUUGAUGUCCGUCCCUACCUUAGGUUGUCUCACAAUUGAAAUUGAUUUGCUGAGUUUAUUCAAAUCGUAAAAUGUAUUCAUUUAUAGAAGUGAUCUCUAACAUAGGGAAAAAAUGUCGAAUGAUAUUCAAUUGCACAAUACCUAUUCAAAGGGGAGAAGUCUAUAUGUCGAAUAAGAAGCUCUUUUUGUAUAACUUUUUCAUUUUCCUUAUUUAAGCAGGUUUAUGUCCCUAAUUUUUGUUUUUCCUUUUUUUUCUCUUCAAUGAAUUUUUAACUUUGAAAUAGAAAAUCAAGAUAGCAUUGAUAAAGUUGGCUCUUGAUAAACCAUAUUUAAAAGUCAUAUUUUUUUUUAAUGGAUUAUGCUAAUGCAAGAGGAGAAAGUUAAUCACUAGGUAUACAACACUUGUUUUGAGUUGUUUAAAUGCUAUUUUUGAUAAUUCAGUAACAAAUGGAUAGAAAUAAUUAUAAUUUAUAUGAAAACUUUUGAUAGCACAUAUUAUUAUUUUUUAUUUUGAUCUUUAUAAUUGCAUUUUUUUUUUUAUAUAGAUAGACGAAAUGGCAAAACCAUUAUAAACUCACACACACAAGUGGAGGUACCGGAGUUCGAACUCCGAUCAUGGCAUCCGGCCUAACAAUUUCGACAUUUUACCAGUUGAGCUAGGACUUCUGAAUUGCAUUUUUUUUUUUUAAACAUAUAUAAUUGGAUAUCGAUGAUCCCUAAAAAAAGUACAUAUUAACGAAGAAUGCAUAUAUUUUUAGCAAAGUUUAUAAAAGAACAUUUUUUUUUAGGGGAAUUGUAUAUUUUAAAUUUAAUUUUUAGCUUGAAUACAAUUUUGAUCCGUUAUUUUCAAAUUUGUUAACUUUUGAUAUCCUAUUUUUUAAAACCAACUCUUUGAUCCCCUAUUUAAAAAGAAUUUUUUGCUAACUUUUAAAUUGGAGGACCAAACAGAUGCUUUUAAAAAAAAUGGGUAUCAAAAGGUAAAAAAAUUGAAAAUAGAGGGAUCAAAAUUGAAAAUAGUAUGGACACCCGUGCCAAGCACGGGCUAGAAUUUCGUCAUGGUUGAGGGAGACAAUAUUAUGAUGUAUCUAGUGUCAGUUAAAUUCAAACAUGGGAUAAAACAACGGAGGUUUAUUAACUAAUAAGCGGAAGAAGCAAAAAAACUAAUACUUAAGCAUGAAAUUUUUGGAUUAAGAUGCAGUAUCAUUCUCACUUGUGUGGUUGUUCCUUCUCAAAUGUGUCGAUCGACCGGUGUUGGCUCCUCCAGAAAGUCCAACGAUGGUAUGUUAUUUAUGUUUAACAUUGCGGGGGAGAAGUUCUUGAUGGUGGAACACAAAUAUUGUGUCAAGUGUUAGUAAAAAUUUCACUUUGUAUGAAAUCAGCGGUGGAUAUAUGUUAGGGCUAUGUGAGGCUAAAGCCCCACAUGCCCUUCCCUAUUUUUCUAUAUAUAUGAUAAAAAUGGUAAUAGUUAUUUUGGUCCUGAAUAUGUAAUAAAUAGUCAUAAUAAUCUCUCAGUGUAUUAAAAUUCUAAAAUAAUCCAUGUUUAUGUACUUUGUUAGUUAUAAUAGUCCCUGAAGUGACAAUAAAUAAGUAUAUUGAAGGACUAAUAUGACAAUAUCAAUUAAGUAUUUGAAUGUUGGACUAUUUUGACUAAUAAAGUGUACAAUCAGAGACAUUGAUGGACUAUUUUAGCCUCACAUGUAGCCAAUGUCUAGAUCUGUCCCUCGAUGCAAAAGUAAAUGUUAAUUAGAAACAUAUAAGUGAGAUGAUCGAUAUACCUAAUACACUAAGAUUUUGGAUGAUGAUGUGCUGUCAAUUGUAUGAUUAACCUUAACAUAAUGUGGCGAUCCAACUCAUUGUAGUCUCCAUCAGAACUCUGGACUUUUUUUUUUUUGUUACUGAACUCUGAACAUUAUGAUGAACUGUUUUGUUAGUUUUUGGAUGUCAUUUAUUUAAUUUUAAUAUUAAAUUGAAGUAGAUGUUGAACAACAUAUAAGUUACAAGACUCAUAUACCUACUACUUUAAGCUUUAGGGUGAAGAUGUGGUGUCUAAUCACUUGUUCGGUUUUUUUUUUUAAUCUAACGCGAUGAUCAAACUCAAUGUAGGAUGCCCCGAAACUCACGACAAUAUGAUGAACUAUUUUUUUAGUUUUUGGAUGUCAUUUGUUUAAUUUUGGCUUAAUUACAGUUUUAGUUCUUCUAUUUUCACUCACUCGCGGAAAUUGUCCUUCCAUUUCAAAAUUACACGGUCUUGGUGCCUCUUUCAGAUUUUUGAACUUAAAAAUGGUGAUAUGUCAUAUUUAAAUUAAAACUUUAAAGGAGUUUUCAUGUAAUUACAUGGGCUAUUGAUCAUUCUACAUCAUGAGACUAAAUGCAAAGUCAUCUAAAAUAUGUCACAUCAUUGUUUUCUAGUAUAAAAAUAGCAUAAAGGGACCAAAAUACUACUAAAAAAAACAAAAAUUAGUGAGGGAUAACAUGAAAUCUCUCUCUAAUUAUGUUACUAAAUUUUGCGUCCAAGGAAUUUAUGAGAGAUUUUAUUUUUUCCGUCACUAAUUUUGCAUUUCCUAGCAGUGAAGCUGAGUGAUUUUAAAAUGAACGGACCAAUUCAUUAGUUGCUGAAAAUAUGGGACUAAAUCUGAAAUUAAGUCUUUAACUUUUCAAUCUUAAAAUUUUAUUUUUGAAUGUCAUUCUCUUUCUUGUGAAUUUUUCAUUCAACCUCAAUUAUUUCAAAUUUAUUUACUUUUGGUCGUGUGUGGCAAAUGAUAAUGAAAAAUUGUCAAUGUCUUAUGUUGGGUUGAUAAAUAUAUUCUUAUUAGAUAUUUAAAAAUAUGUGGUGUUUUUUUAAUUGAAUCUAAUUUUUUAGUAAAAUAGUUGUCCAAAGAAUCUCCAACUCCUUGAGUAAACUCAUAGAUUUAUCAUACAACUCACACUGUUUUCUAUACCUUCACAGACAAAACACACAAUGAUUGGUUUUUUUUCCAUUAUCUUCUCUCAUGUUCAAAUCUUUUUUUCGUAUCCUUUUUCUUACUUCUAAUUUCCUUUCUCUCUUCUCAUGUGAGAAAGAAAAAUAAACAUCCCUCAAUGAAACCAUCAUUAACCAACCUUUUUAAACAUAUGGUGUCUUCAUUUGAUAUUAUUUGACUAUGUCACGUAAUUAUGGACACAGAGAGUUGCAAACUUGAAUAAAAAAUGUUAAUGUGUCAAGUGUGAGUUAAAAUUCUAUAGUGGAUAUAAGAGUAAAUUAUGAAUAACAUAUAAGUGAGAUGACUCAUAUACAUACUACUGGCUUAAAGUUUUGUGUGAAUAUGUGAUAUCAAUCUCACUUGUAUGGUAUCUCUUAGUCUAAUAUGGUGAUAAAACUCACUGUAAGAUCCCUUGGAAGUCCCAAAGUUAUGAUGAAUUGUUUUGUUAGCUUUUAUAUCUCAUUUAUUUAAAAAAUUUAUCCUAAAUUUUGAUUAUUGAACGCCAUUUGCUUCCAUGCUAUUUUUUUUAUUCAACCUCCCUUAUUUCAAAUUCCUUCACUUUGUUCUACUGAGUUGACAAAAACAUACUUAUUAAAAUAUUUAAAUUGAUGUUGCGAUUCUUUAAUUGAGUCUAAUUUGUCGUAAAAUAAUUACUCCAAAACUCCUAAUUCUUCAACAAUCCCACAAAAUUACCAGCAACUCAUAUAAUUCCAUAUACUCUCGUGGUAAAAGCACACACUCAUUUUUUCCUUAUCAUUUCUUGUAACACCCCGUUUUCCUAACAUAAAAAUUUCAUAAAAUAAUAAGAGUAAAACAUCACAUAAACGGGAUAUCACACUUCUUAAAAAUCAUAAAUGAGGUAAUUAACUAAUUAUCUUUCCAAAAAUCAUCAACAUAUUAAUUCAAAAUUUACAGCGGAUUAAAUUCAUUAACAUAAAUAACUCUUUGGCACGCAGGCCUUAUUAAAAUAUACACAAUACGUAAAGGAAUAGAAAAUAGCCACAAAAUAUUUCAUCCCGUUACGUAUCAGAGCAUCCUAAGACUCGGUGAGGAAUAAGUCACUCACGACAACAACAACAACAACAACCUAUUAACGAUCACCUGCAAGUUACUCAUAGGAAGAGCAACAUUUCCAAGUAGAAGGGGUGAGAUUUCACAAAACAAUAAUAUUGAGCAUAUAAUUCAACAAUUAUAUUUAAUCAACAUCAAAUCAUCUUAAUAUUCAUUAUAGAUAGUAAUAUAUCAUUUAGCACUUCAAUCAUAGUUUGUAUAAACAAUUACAACUUCACAACUUAUCAACAUAAACAUCAUUGACUCGACAAAUGCGACUCCAACUCGACUAUGCAACUUAGACAUCUUAUAUGCAUGUGGUACCAAUACGGAGCAUCAAGCCCCUAUCGUUAUUUGAGUAUUAAUAUACUCCAGAGCAUCAAGCCCCUAUCGCUAUUUAAGUAUUAUUAUACUCCAGAGCAUCAAGCCC